rnacentral:rRNA from 1 species
AGGGCGUACAGUGGAUGCCUUGGCACAGGCCGGCGAUGAAGGGCGUGGCAAGCUGCGAAAAGCCUCGGGGAGCCGCAAGUAGGCUUUGAUCCGGGGGUGCCCGAAUGGGGAAACCUGGCGGGGGUGAACCCCGUCGUCCCGCCGCAAGGCGGGAGGCCAACCCGGGGAACUGAAACAUCUCAGUACCCGGAGGAAAAGAAAGCAACAGCGAUUCCCUCAGUAGCGGCGAGCGAACGGGGAGCAGCCCAAACCGCGGAGGUGUUAAAGGUCGGAGCCGUUGCCUCCGCGGGGUUGUAGGGCAGUGCCGUAGGGGUCUCCGAGCCCCUGCGUUUCGGGUUCGAUUUAGCCGAAUCGAGUUGGGAAACUCAGCCGGAGUGGGUGAGAGCCCCGUAGGCGAAAGAUCGGGCUUGGAGCGUGGUGCUGUUCCUGAUUAGGCCGGGACACGUGGAAUCCCGGUUGAAGCUGGGAGGACCUUCUUCCAAGGCUAAAUACGUGCCUGUGACCGAUAGUGAACAAGUACCGUGAGGGAAAGGUGAAAAGUACCGCUGACGCGGGGUGAAAUAGAACCUGAAACUGUGUGCCUACAAGCAGUAGGAGCCUGAGUGCUCGGCUUCGGCCGAGCGCCGGGUGACUGCGUGCCUUUUGCAUUAUGAUCCGGGGAGUUGUCGUUCUGGGCGAGGUUAAGGGCUUAAGGCCCGGAGCCGUAGCGAAAGCGAGUCUUAAAUGGGCGUCUCAGUCCAGGGGGGCAGACCCGAAGCCGAGUGAUCUACCCAUGGCCAGGAUGAAGCGGGGGUAAUACCUCGUGGAGGUCCGCACCGGUGUCGGUUGAAAACGGCUCGGAUGAGCUGUGGGUAGGGGUGAAAGGCCAAACAAACUCGGAGAUAGCUGGUUCUCCUCGAAACGUAUUUAGGUACGGCCUCUGGACGUAACUGCGGGAGGUAGAGCACUGGAUGGGCUAGGGGGCCUCAAAGCCUACCAACCCCAACCAAACUCCGAAUGCCCGUAGUGGAAUCCAGGGAGACAGGGUGCGGGUGAUAAUGUCCGUACGCGAGAGGGAAAGAACCCAGACCAUCAGCUAAGGUCCCGGAGUGCUGGCUAAGUGAGAAAGGAUGUGGGUGUGCACAGACAGCUGGGAGGUUGGCUUAGAAGCAGCCAUCCUUUAAAGAGUGCGUAAUAGCUCACCAGUCAAGUGUACCCGCGCCGAAAAUGGUCGGGACUCAAGCCAGCCGCCGAAGCUAUGGAAGCGGAUAACCCUUCGGGGUCGUCUGCUUGGUAGAGGAGCGUUCCGUGUGCGGUGAAGCGGGGAGCGGAAGCCCCCGUGGAGCGCACGGAAGUGAGAAUCCCGGAAUGAGUAGCGAGAAACGGGGUGAGAACCCCCGUCGCCGAAAGCCUAAGGUUUCCUGAGCCAUGUCGAUCAGCUCAGGGUUAGCCGGUCCCUAAGGCGAGGCCGAAAGGCGUAGUCGAUGGGAAGCAGGUGAAUAUUCCUGCGCCACACGUCUGGUGUUUGAGCACGAGGAGGGACGCCGGAGCGAAGGGCUCGUCGGGUGAUGGAAUACCCGAUGUAAGGGCGUAGGCAGAGUGGGCGAGGCAAAUCCCGUCCAUUAGCCGAGACCUGAUGCCGAAGGGGCUUCGUGCCCCGCAAAGGAGUCUGGAGCCAACGGCCGAGAAAAGCUUCGCGUGCGAAUCAGGCGGGUGACCGUACCGUAAACCGACACAGGUAGGCGAGGCGAGGAGCCUCAGGCGCUCGAGUGAGUCUCGGUCAAGGAACUCGGCAAAAUGUCCCCGUAACUUCGGGAGAAGGGGAGCCUGUAGUAGGUGAAGCCCCUGCGGGCCGAGCCGACGCAGGCCGCAGAGAAUCGACCCAAGCGACUGUUUAGUAAAAACACAGGUGCCUGCCAAGUCGGUUAAGACGACGUAUAGGCACUGACGCCUGCCCGGUGCCGGAAGGUUAAGCGGAGGGGUUAGUCUUCUCAGGAAGGCGAAGCUCCGAAGCGAAGCCCCGGUAAACGGCGGCCGUAACUAUAACGGUCCUAAGGUAGCGAAAUUCCUUGUCGGGUAAGUUCCGACCUGCACGAAUGGCGUAACGACUUGGGUGCUGUCUCGACCGAGAGCUCGGCGAAAUUGGAAUAUCGGUGAGGAUACCGAUUACCCGCGGCAGGACAAAAAGACCCCGUGCACCUUUACUGUAGCCUGGUAUCGGGUCUUGGCACUACUUGUGUAGGAUAGGUGGGAGGCUAUGAACCGAUCCCGUCAGGGGUCGGGGAGCCACUGGUGAAAUACCACCCUGGUGAUGUUGGGGCUCUAACCCGUGACUGUGAAUCCAGUGCGGGGACUGUGCCAGGUGGGCAGUUUGACUGGGGCGGUCGCCUCCUAAAAAGUAACGGAGGCGCGCAAAGGUUCC